rnacentral:rRNA from 1 species
CAAUAGCGUAUAUUAAAGUUGUUGCAGUUAAAAAGCUCGUAGUUGGAUUUCUGGGCAGCCUGGCUGGUCCGCCGCAAGGCGAGUACUGGUCAGCCGCCCUUCCUCUCGAAAGCCCCGACUGCUCUUCGUUGCAGUGGUCGGGUAGUUCGGGACGUUUACUUUGAAAAAAUUAGAGUGUUCAAGGCAGGCCUACGCCUGAAUACAUUAGCAUGGAAUAAUGGAAGAGGACCUCGGUCCUAUUUUGUUGGUUUCCAGGGCCGAAGUAAUGAUUAAGAGGGACAGUUGGGGGCAUUCGUAUUUAAUUGUCAGAGGUGAAAUUCUCGGAUUUAUGAAAGACGAACAACUGCGAAAGCAUUUGCCAAGGAUGUUUUCAUUAA